CCACAUCCUCUGAGACGAUCAUCACCAUGUUCGCUUUGAAAGCAGUUUGCCUCCUCGCCACCAUCGCUAUGCUUGUUGCAUUUGUGGCUGCAGGAGCUCCGAAUGUGAAAGUCUGCAGACUAACAAAAGUUGGAGAGCUAUGUUUUGACCAUUCAGGAUGAAGAGACGUCAGGCAUUCACUGAAGACUCUAAUUACUAAAAACACUGUGUAGUCAAUGAAUAAAGUAGUCAUGCAUACCUA